GACGAACGCUGGCGGCGUGCUUAACACAUGCAAGUCGAACGGAAAGGCCCUGCUUUUGUGGGGUGCUCGAGUGGCGAACGGGGGAGUAACACGUGAGUAACCUGCCCUUGACUUUGGGAUAACUUCAGGAAACUGGGGCUAAUACCGGAUAGGAGCUCCUGCUGCAUGGUGGGGGUUGGAAAGUUUCGGCGGUUGGGGAUGGACUCGCGGCUUAUCAGCUUGUUGGUGGGGUAGUGGCUUACCAAGGCUUUGACGGGUAGCCGGCCUGAGAGGGUGACCGGCCACAUUGGGACUGAGAUACGGACCAGAAUCCUACGGGAGGCAGCAGGGGGGAAUAUUGCACAAUGGGCGGAAGCCUGAUGCAGAAACGCCGCGUGCGGGAUGACGGCCUUCGGGUUGUAAACCGCUUUCGCCUGUGACGAAGCGUGAGUGACGGUAAUGGGUAAAGAAGCACCGGCUAACUACGUG
rnacentral:rRNA from 1 species